rnacentral:rRNA from 1 species
UAAGGAAUAUUGGUCAAUGGACGAAAGUCUGAACCAGCCAUGCCGCGUGGAGGAUGAAGGCCCUCUGGGUUGUAAACUUCUUUUAUAGGGGACGAAAAAGGGUCUUUCUAGAUCAACUGACGGUACCCUAGGAAUAAGCACCGGCUAACUCCGUGCCAGCAGCCGCGGUAAUACGGAGGGUGCAAGCGUUAUCCGGAUUCACUGGUUUUAAAGGGUGCGUAGGUGGGUUAGUAAGUCAGUGGUGAAAUCUUCGAGCUUAACUCGGAAACUGCCAUUGAUACUAUUAGUCUUGAAUAUUGUGGAGGUUAGCGGAAUAUGUCAUGUAGCGGUGAAAUGCUUAGAUAUGACAUAGAACACCAAUAGCGAAGACAGCUGGCUACACAUAUAUUGACACUGAGGCACGAAAGCGUGGGGAUCAAA